rnacentral:rRNA from 1 species
UUAAAAAGCUCGUAGUUGGUUUCUGUUGAGGACGGCCGGUCCGCACUAUGUGCGUGUAUCUGGUUCGGCCUCGGCAUCCUCUUGAGGAACGUUUCUGCGCUUGAUUGCGUGGAGCGGUAUUCAAGACUUUUAUUUUGAGGAAAUUAGAGUGUUCACGGCAGGCAAGCGCCUUGAAUAUGUUAGCAUGGGAUAAUAAUAUAGGAUCUUGGUUCUAUUUGUUGGUUUCUAGGGCUAAGGUAAUGAUUAAUAGGGAUAAUUGGGGGCAUUUGUAUUAACGCGUCAGAGGUGGAAUUCUUGGAUUGCGUUACGACAAACUACUGCGAAAGCAUUUGCCAAGGAUGUUUUCAUUGAUCAAGAACGAAAGUAUGGGGAUCGAAGAUGAUUAGAUACCGUCGUAGUCUAUACCAUAAACUAUGCCGACUAGGGAUUGGAGGUCGUUCUUUUUAUGACUCCUUCAGCACCUUAUGAGAAAUCAAAGUCUUUGGGUUCCGGGGGGAGUAUAGUCGCAAGGCUGAAACUUAAAGGAAUUGACGGAAGGGCACCACCAGGAGUGGAGCCUGCGGCUUAAUUUGACUCAACACGGGGAAACUCACCAGGUCCAGACAUAGUAAGGAUUGACAGAUUGAUAGCUCUUUCUUGACUCUAUGGGUGGUGGUGCAUGGCCGUUCUUAGUUGGUGGAGUGAUUUGUCUGGUUUAUUUCGAUAACGAACGAGAUCUUAACCUGCUAAAUAGUGACGUGUAUCUCCGGAUAUGCGAACACUUCUUAGAGGGACUUUGUGGUUUCAACUGCAAGGAAGUUUGAGGCAAUAACAGGUCUGUGAUGCCCUUAGAUGUUCUGGGCUGCACGCGCGCUACACUGAUGCGUUCAACGAGUUUAUAACCUUGCCAGAUAUGGUUGGGUAAUCUUUUGAAACGCAUCGUGAUGGGGAUAGAUUAUUGUAAUUAUUAAUCUUCACGAGGAAUUCCUAGUG